AUGAAUCACUUACAAGCGUGCGAGCGAGCAAGCUAGCAGAAGCGCUAAGCCGAAAAAGAGUUAUCUGUUUGCCUUAUAAUUAAAAUCGCUAUCAAUAAAAAAAAGUUGCACGUUUCCCGAGUAGUAGCACAGUAUCUUACACGCGCAUACACAUAUCGGUGUAAUAAAUCGGAAAUCGUGUGAAAUCUGCAUAGACAGCAACGCAGAGCUUCUUUGUGCGCAGCGCUAACAAGUGCAUACAAACAAACACAUACGCACACUGAGUACUCUGCAAACAUUGUUGCACAGCAACAGCAACGCCAACCGCAGAUAGCAGAAGAAUUUUCUGUAGUAAAACGGAAGUUGUUGUCGUAGUCAGCUUCGCAGAAGAAGCAACGAUAGAGGCUAGUGCUACAGUAAUAUUUAUCCAAAGCAACAAUUGGACGAAAUCAAAAAGAAAAGAACGCACCUUUGCUACCUGAGCAGAUUAAACAUACGAAAGAAGGAGAGAGGAAGAGAAGAGAUAACUUUCAUACAGCUAGAGUUCUUUGAUG